GCGGGGGCGGCGUGGGGGCGGGGCGAGGCGCGGCGCGGCGCGCGGCGGCGGCGGGCGCGGGAGAGGCCCGGGAGCGAGAGCAGCGCGGGAGCGGCUGAGGGGCGCUGUUGCCAUGGAGACGAGCGCGCACCCCUAUUGGCCGCGCGCGCUGGCGUUGCCGGGUUACGUGGCGGGCGCGCGGCCCGGCUGGCAGUGCGCAGGCGCGGUGGCGGCGGCGGCGGCGGUGCUGUUCGCGCUGGGCUGGGCCCUGGGCGGGACCGGGGGCGGGACCAAGGGCGGAGCCAAGGGCGUGGCCAAACGAAGUCCCGCCCGCCGGCUGGUCCUGGGCUGGUUCCUGGUGUGCGCCGGCAUCCACGGGGUCCUGGAAGGAUAUUUCAGCCUCCGGCACCGGGAGCUGCCCGCCGACACCGGGCUGCUGGCCGACGUCUGGAAGGAAUACGCCAAGGCCGACAGCCGCUACAUGACGAGCGAUGACUUCACGGUUGCCAUGGAGACGGUGACAGCCUGGGCCUGGGGUCCCCUGAGCUUCCUCACCUUCCUCGCCCUCCUGCGGCAGCACCCGGCCCGCUACAUCCUGCAGCUCGUGGUGUCCCUGGGCCAGCUGUACGGUGACAUCCUGUACUUCGCCACGGAGGCGCGGGCGGGCUGGGCUCACAGCGACCCCCACCCCUUUUAUUUCUGGGGUUACUUCGUGGGGCUCAACGGGCUCUGGGUGCUCGUGCCCGCCCUGCUGAUGCUGGAUGCCAGCCGGGAGCUGGCGCGGGCACAGCGCGGGCACGACCGGCCCCGGCACAAGGCUCACUGAGGGGGAGGGGGGAGAGACCCCCGGGACCCCCUCAUGGACUGAGAAAGCCCCCCAGGGGUGAGAGACCCCCAUGGACCCCAUGGACUGAGAGAGCCCCCAACGACCGGCCCCAACCCAAGGCACAUUAAGAGGGGGGGAAAGAGACCCCCAGAGACCCCCGGGACCCCCCCAUGGAUUGAGAACUCCCCCCAUGGACCCCUUGGGCUGAGGGAGCCCCCAACGACCAACCCUGACCCAAGGCUCACUGAGGGGGGGGGGGAGAGACCCCCGGGACCCCCCCAUGGACUGAGAAAGCCCCCAAUGACCAGCCCCGAC